rnacentral:rRNA from 1 species
CCUACGGGUGGCAGCAGUGAGGAAUAUUGGUCAAUGGACGGAAGUCUGAACCAGCCAUGCCGCGUGCAGGAAGACGGCUCUAUGAGUUGUAAACUGCUUUUGUACAGGGGUAAACCUGGAUACGUGUAUUCCGCUGAAAGUACUUUACGAAUAAGGAUCGGCUAACUCCGUGCCAGCAGCCGCGGUAAUACGGAGGAUCCAAGCGUUAUCCGGAUUUAUUGGGUUUAAAGGGUGCGUAGGCGGAUUGUUAAGUUAGAGGUGAAAUGUCCGGGCUUAACCCGGGAACUGCCUUUAAGACUGUUGGUCUAGAGAGUAGAUGCGGUAGGCGGAAUGUAUGGUGUAGCGGUGAAAUGCUUAGAGAUCACACAGAACACCGAUUGCGAAGGCAGCUUACCAAUCUAUAUCUGACGUUGAGGCACGAAAGCGUGGGGAGCAAACAGGAUUAGAUACCCUUGUAGUC